GAUCCUAUAUAAUCUGUUCCCAUGCCCUAUUUUCCAUCGCCUCCUGUUUGGUAAUCUAUCACUGAAGAACGAAUUUUUGUCAAUCGCUCGAUUCGUCCUAUUACAGAGGUACAAAGAAGUUGGACUCGACACCAGCGUUUUGACUAGAGUUGAAUAUGGGAGUAGAAGUUCACGAGCUGGCUGCUAAAGGUCCAAUGCUACAGCCUACAGGUAAGUAAUUAAUAGAUUUCUUCAUUUCAUUAUUAGAGAGGUUCAUUUCUUUUCAUUAAUCAUGUUGACAAGAGGACAUCAUUGACUUACAUGUAUGAUUGUGGUAACUAACUGACUGAGAACAACUAGAGGUGAUCUCAAAGCGGUAAACAACUUUUUUUUCUUUUGUUUUUCAAUACUUAUACUCUGUGCCAUAUGAAUCAGUUGUUACUAGGUACUAUCUUUUUGAAAAUUUGAAUAGAGUUUGAACCUUUGUGGACGCAAAAAAAGAUAUGAAAAAGGAAGUUCCUGUGUUGAUCGAUAAGUUUCCAGAAUGUGGGUUGCGAUCUUUGGCUAUUGCAAAACAGGUGUUCAACUUGAUAUUGCUAAGAAGACUGGUAGACGACUUGGUAUGAGACAAACAUGUACCCUUCUUCUUUACUUGGUGGCCACAAGGAUUUAUCUAUAGCAACUUUUUGUAUUCAAGAGUUCAUUGAGAAAGCUCAUGGAUUUUGAUGAAAACCAAAAGCUCACAUUGAAAUUGAUAUUGCUCAUGCUAUAUAUGAUGCUAUCAUGGUGCAGACAAUAUUUGGUGACAAUGGCGAAUCUCCUAUAUUUGUUGUAAAGUGGUGGAUCUGUUUGAGAGAGGCCAUGUAUAUAUAUAUUUUAGUUUUUGAAUAUUUGCUCUGCAAUUAAAUAGUCAAUAUUACUAUUUUUAUACUAUUUUGGUAUUCACGCUCGGUUGGGAAAACAUAUGUAUUGUUAUUAGAUUGAGAAUCGUUUAUAUUGAAGCCCACACAUACUAUA